rnacentral:rRNA from 1 species
UACGUAGGGGGCAAGCGUUGUCCGGAAUCAUUGGGCGUAAAGCGCGUGUAGGCGGCCAGAAAAGUCCGCUGUGAAAACUCGAGGCUCAACUUCGAGCUGUCGGUGGAAACUUUCUGGCUAGAGUCCGGAAGAGGAGAAUGGAAUUCCUGGUGUAGCGGUGAAAUGCGCAGAUAUCAGGAAGAACACCCGUGGCGAAGGCGGUUCUCUGGGACGGUACUGACGCUGAGGAGCGAAAGCGUGGGGAGCAAACAGG